rnacentral:rRNA from 1 species
CUGGCGAUGCUUUAAAUGCAAGUCGAACGGUAACAGGGAGCUUGCUCCGCUGACGAGUGGCGAACGGGUGAGUAAUGCAUCGGAACAUGCCCAGUCAUGGGGGAUAACUACGCGAAAGCGUAGCUAAUACCGCAUACGCCCUGAGGGGGAAAGUGGGGGAUCUUAGGACCUCACGUGAUUGGAGUGGCCGAUGUCAGAUUAGCUAGUUGGUGAGGUAAAGGCUCACCAAGGCGACGAUCUGUAGCGGGUCUGAGAGGAUGAUCCGCCACACUGGGACUGAGACACGGCCCAGACUCCUACGGGAGGCAGCAGUGGGGAAUUUUGGACAAUGGGCGCAAGCCUGAUCCAGCCAUGCCGCGUGAGUGAAGAAGGCCUUCGGGUUGUAAAGCUCUUUCGCAAGGGAAGAAAUCGGCAAGGCUAAUAUCUUUGUCGGAUGACGGUACCUUGACAAGAAGCACCGGCUAACUACGUGCCAGCAGCCGCGGUAAUACGUAGGGUGCGAGCGUUAAUCGGAAUUACUGGGCGUAAAGCGUGCGCAGGCGGUUGUGUAAGACAGGUGUGAAAUCCCCGGGCUUAACCUGGGAACUGCGCUUGUGACUGCACGGCUAGAGUACGGCAGAGGGGGGUGGAAUUCCACGUGUAGCAGUGAAAUGCGUAGAUAUGUGGAGGAACACCGAUGGCGAAGGCAGCCCCCCUGGGCCUGUACUGACGCUCAUGCACGAAAGCGUGGGGAGCAAACAGGAUUAGAUACCCUGGUAGUCCACGCCCUAACGAUGUCAACUAGUUGUUCGGAGAGGUACUUUCUGAGUACGCAGCUAAC